UUUUGGUGCUUCUGUCAGUGUGUGUUUGCUUGUUUUAAGUUGGCAAGUCUGUACAUACAUUAUUCGGGAGGGUGGAAAACAAGCCAUUAUCACUGCUAGUCAGUCUUGGGAAUCAGUACGUAACGUCAAAUUUCAAAUGUGGACUCCAGUGACAAAGAAUGGGAAUAGCAGUGAAUAUUAGAUUUUUAAAGGCAGAAGACAUCAUCCACUCAGCUCUCUUAGAACCAUGUUUUGCCAUUCUUUUCCCUCCCCUGAAUUUUUCUGUGUUUGUAAAUAGUUUAAGGAAAAUACAUUCAUGGUCAGCCCUUUCUAAGAGACUUAUUGAAUAUUAACUCUUAUGCAAAAAAAAUAUAUAUAUAUUAUAUAUACCGAGUCUUAUGGGCAUACAAAUGCUACCCUAUUUUAAAUGUAGGUGGCGUAUGUGUUCGUGUUUUAAUGUAUCAGAGCCAUUGGGCAAUAAGCAGUCCAGAACAUUGAAAUCUCAAGCAGGUAAAAGCACCUAAACCCUUAGUUUCUAGAACUAUGUUAAGUAUUUUAUAUUGUGUGCUCCUUGGGUAGUCUCUGGAUUGUAGACUACCUAGAUACACCUUAUACCAUAAUAUGUUUAUUAAUAGUCCAUAGGAAUACGGAAGGAAGGAAACAGCAGAACAGACCAUGGCUCUGACGAUGACUACGGAGUACAAUCAUUCCUCUUCCUUUCUUUCCAUUUUUAAUUUUCCUAGCUUAGCAUGAACACUGACCAUACGUUAUUUGAUAUUCUGUGAUUGGGUUUUUUAUUGCUGAUUACUGAGGUGGGAUAGGCAAGAUAUGAAAAUGUUGAUUCACAUGUGAAAAUAUGCAAUGUUAAAGCUUUUGUUUAAUUUGAACAAUAAGCAAGGCCGUUUUCUAUAUACCCUUCUGCUGCAGCAGAGAGAUAAACUGGUAGGUGGCAGCAGAGAAAGGAAUUCCUCAGACUGAUGGCUGUUGACUGAGAAGAGAUAGCAUGAGACUACCGAGUGGUGGAGGAGCAGCAGAGAUGAAGGCUGGACUCAGGAAGGCUGCCUCUUUACUGAAUGGUUCUCUCCAAGUAACCAGUGAUCUCCUGGAGAAGACAGAACUCGUCACUUUAGAGUGGAGCGAGGAUACGGAAUAAGAAAGAAGUUGUUCUUUGUGUCCUGUUGCAUUCAGUGUGGGUUUUCUUUGUGUAAAUUAAAACACUGAAUGGGGAUACAUAAA
rnacentral:lncRNA from 1 species